rnacentral:rRNA from 1 species
GAUGAACGCUGGCGGCGUGCCUAAUACAUGCAAGUCGAGCGAACAGACGAGGAGCUUGCUCCUCUGACGUUAGCGGCGGACGGGUGAGUAACACGUGGAUAACCUACCUAUAAGACUGGGAUAACUUCGGGAAACCGGAGCUAAUACCGGAUAAUAUAUUGAACCGCAUGGUUCAAUAGUGAAAGACGGUUUUGCUGUCACUUAUAGAUGGAUCCGCGCCGCAUUAGCUAGUUGGUAAGGUAACGGCUUACCAAGGCAACGAUGCGUAGCCGACCUGAGAGGGUGAUCGGCCACACUGGAACUGAGACACGGUCCAGACUCCUAAGGGAGGCAGCAGUAGGGAAUCUUCCGCAGUGGGCGAAAGCCUGACGGAGCAACGCCGCGUGAGUGAUGAAGGUCUUCGGAUCGUAAAACGCUGUUAUUAGGGAAGAACAAAUGUGUAAGUAACUAUGCACGUCUUGACGGUACCUAAUCAGAAAGCCACGGCUAACUACGU